rnacentral:rRNA from 1 species
GGAAACAAUAGCUAAUACCGGAUAUAGUUAUUUAUCGCAUGAUGAGUAAUAGAAAGGAGCUUCACAGCUUCACUUAAAAAUGGGGGUGCGGAACAUUAGUUAGUUGGUAGGGUAAUGGCCUACCAAGACGAUGAUGUUUAGCCGGGCCGAGAGGCUGUACGGCCACACUGGGACUGAGAUACGGCCCAGACUCCUACGGGAGGCAGCAGUAAGGAAUUUUCCACAAUGAGCGAAAGCUUGAUGGAGCGACACAGCGUGCAGGAUGAAGUUCUUCGGAAUGUAAACUGCUGUUAUAAGGGAAGAAAAAAUAGAAUAGGAAAUGAUUUUAUCUUGACGGUACCUUAUUAGAAAGCGAC